rnacentral:lncRNA from 1 species
CAUCAUCCUGAGUUCAAAUCUGACCUCAGAUACUUCCUAAUUGUGUGACUCUGGGCAAUUCACUUCACCUUGUUUGCCUCAGUUUCCUCAUCUGUCAAAAAGGCUGGAAAAGGCAAUGACAAACCACACCAUUGUCUUUGCCCAGAAAACCCCAAAUGGGAUCACAAAGAGUCCCACAUCACUGAAAUGACUCAACAAUAACAAUAACAACAAUAAGUACUUAUUGACUAAACUGCCUGGUUGGUGAAUGAAGUUACAACUUGACUGAUGGCUCAGUCUCUUUCUCCCUCUCUCCAUCCACCUUCAGGGGUCCUGCUCUGGAGAGGGAUGCUGGUGGUGAUUGGGCUAUCCUGCAGAAGCUCUUGAAUAUGGGGUGUCUGGAGUCUCCCAGGAAUCAGCAAAGUCCCCAUGAGGGAUUCUGGGACUUGGGGCUUAAUCACACUGAAAAAAUAUUACUCUGAGAAGGGGAAAAUAGUCACCAGACUGUUAGAGGGACCUACGAUACAAGAAUAUGAAGAACACGAAAUUGAGAUUCAGAGAGGGAGAAGGUGAUACCAUAACAUCACACAGGAAGUAGGGAUGUCAUUCCAAAGCUUGGAACAAGUAAGUGAUCACUUCUCUCAUAUCUUAUGCUUACAGGUUUCCCACAGACAGACCCCGUCUUUUAUUUAUACCCACAAAAUAGGAAUGAUUUGUUGCUGAACAGAAAAAGUAAAAUGGCUUUGGGAGAUAGAG